rnacentral:misc_RNA from 1 species
CCAUCACCGCCUCCACCACAACAACCUAUCUUGUGACCGUUCAACUGGAAAACGCCAAACGUCGUGGCCAAUCCUCUAGACUUUGUUCUUUGUAUUCUAAAAUCCAAAUCCAAUUAAAAGUCCUUCUCUUCUCUGUUCCUCUCCCUCUCUUUUCACCGUCACGCUUCCUCCACUCCUCUUUGCAUGAAAAUGCUCUUGUUAGUAUAAAUUCCACCUAUUUUCUUGC